ACAGCAGAGGCUGUGAUGACAGAUUCCACGGGGCCCACCCACCUCUCCUGGGAGCUCUUCGACUGGUUGGGUACACUCACCCCUACCUGCUGCAGGUGCUUUGCUGACAAUCUGUGCUGGAGCCGAACCUGCAGAAUCCCCUGGGUGCCCUGUACCGCUCAGCCCACCUUUUUGCCCGAUGAUGACUUCCUGGUUUGCCUCAAGGAGGGACGAACCGUGUGUACAGUUCCUGACCCGGAGCUCCUCUGGGGAUCGGCCGAGGCUCGAUUUCCUCUGAAACCAUCCCGGCUCAGCUUGUCCCCUUUCUGCAUCCGGCCUCCCUCACUCCCAGACGGAUGUCUCCAGAGAACAUCCUCAGUGUCCUGUCCUGCCCCCCACUCCCGCCUCCACGUCCUGGAAUCAGUCCCCAGACGCACCCGCCGCCCUCCAGUCCGUGGCUCAGGCUCUGCUUUCCAGAGAAUCCAGACACGUUAAUCCAGGCCCACGUUAGCUCAUUUCCUCCUCAGAACAACCCCGAGACGAGCAUUCCCAUCAGUCCCCUAUUCCAGAUGCGGAGGCUGAGAGUUAAAGGAGCUUGACUGUGCUCCCGACAUUCGGCCCUGGGGUCCUGCUGUGGAAUCCACGAUCUCAGCCUGUGCUGGUCUACCAGGCUGCUCCCCUCUGGCCACGUGUGACGGAAAAGCCAGGUUCAAAGAAAAGACCUUGUCCCCUUGUCUUUGUCUCCCAGCUCUCCAGGGGAGCUCGUGCUCAUUCUAAGCAAGACUUGGGGUAAAGCUCUGGGGUCGUGUGGUAGCAUGAAGACAGCCCCCAAAGAUACCAGGUUCUGAUCCUCGGAACCGGUACGUUACCUUAUUUGGCAAAAAGGACUUUGCGGGUGUGAUUAAGGGUCUGGAGAUGCGCAGAUUACCCUAGAUUACCCAGGUGGGCCCUAAACGUAGUCCGAGUGCCUUUAUAGGAGAGGAACAGAGGGACAUUCGACCACCGUGACAGAGGAAGGACGUGUGUCACUGAAGCAAGAUGCUACACGGCCGGCUUUGAGGAUGCAGGCCAGGGCCAAGGAAUCCAAGGAAGGCGUCUCUAGAAGCUGGAAGAGGCUGGGAAGCAUUCUCUCCUAGAGCCUCUGGGAGCAGUGUGGCCCUGCCGAUACCUUGUGAAGCUGAUGAAGGACUUCUGCCCCCAGAACUGUGAGAGAAUAAACGUGUGUGGUUUUUAAGUCAUUUUUUUUUUUUUUUUUUGGCCACACUGCACAGCUUGUGGGACCUUAGUUCCCUGAC